rnacentral:misc_RNA from 1 species
CACCCCUUGGUAAGGGUG